rnacentral:tRNA from 1 species
GGGGGGUUAGCUCAGCUGGGAGAGCACCUGCCUUGCACGCAGGGGGUCAAGGGUUCGAGUCCCUUACUCUCCACCA